GCUGACUCCGCUGCUUUUGGUCACAGGCUGCUGCCUUCACAAAUCAUGUUUGUCCUUCUGCCUUCUUUGUGGUUUGUAUGGACUUGAUUGCAAAUGAAGCACUUGUCCUCUCACCUGGGAGUUCCAGCAGAGAAAUGCCCUCCAUCAAGAAAAUUUAGACAUCUACCUGGACAAAUCGAGAAAUACUAUUCUUUGUGCUCUUCAACGACAUUCUUCACUCAAAAACCUCAAAGCACAAAUCAUUUCAGUGAAGCAGGUAAGAGAGCUACUUGCAUUUUCUCUUUCA
rnacentral:lncRNA from 12 species